rnacentral:rRNA from 1 species
GCUUAGCCCUAAACACAGAUAGUACAAACACAAUACUACCCGCCAGAGAAUUACAAGCGAAAAGCUUAAAACUCCAAGGACUUGGCGGUGCUUCAAACCAACCUAGAGGAGCCUGUCCUAUAAUCGAUACCCCACGUUACACCUCACCACCCCUUGAAAACUCAGCCUAUAUACCGCCGUCGCCAGCCUACCUUAUGAAAGAAAUAGAGUAGGCAAAAUAGUUAAUAACUUAAUACGUCAGGUCAAGGUGUAGCACACGGGGCGGCAGAGAUGGGCUACAUUUUCUCUAAGACCACAAACGAACGGCACACUGAAACACGAGCCCAAAGGUGGAUUUAGUAGUAAGAUAACCAAGAAUAGUUAUCUUAAACCUGCUCUGAAGCGCGC